rnacentral:rRNA from 1 species
GAUGAACGCUAGCUACAUGCUUAACACAUGCAAGUCGAGGGGCAGCAUGUCGGUUGCUUGCAACCGAUGAUGGCGACCGGCGCACGGGUGAGUAACGCGUAUCCAACCUACCCUUGUCCAUCGGAUAACCCGUCGAAAGGCGGCCUAACACGAUAUGCGGUUCACCGCAGGCAUCUAAGGUGAACGAAAUGUGAAGGAGAAGGAUGGGGAUGCGUCUGAUUAGCUUGUUGGCGGGGUAACGGCCCACCAAGGCGACGAUCAGUAGGGGUUCUGAGAGGAAGGUCCCCCACAUUGGAACUGAGACACGGUCCAAACUCCUACGGGAGGCAGCAGUGAGGAAUAUUGGUCAAUGGACGGGAGUCUGAACCAGCCAAGUAGCGUGCAGGAUGACGGCCCUAUGGGUUGUAAACUGCUUUUAUAGGGGGAUAAAGUGUGCCACGUGUGGCAUAUUGCAGGUACCCUAUGAAUAAGGACCGGCUAAUUCCGUGCCAGCAGCCGCGGUAAUACGGAAGGUCCGGGCGUUAUCCGGAUUUAUUGGGUUUAAAGGGAGCGUAGGCCGUCUUAUAAGCGUGUUGUGAAAUGUCGGGGCUCAACCUGGGCAUUGCAGCGCGAACUGUGAGACUUGAGUGCGCAGGAAGUAGGCGGAAUUCGUCGUGUAGCGGUGUAAUGCUUAGAUAUGACGAAGAACUCCGAUUGCGAAGGCAGCCUGCUGUAGCGCAACUGACGCUGAAGCUCGAAAGCGUGGGUAUCGAACAGG